rnacentral:tRNA from 1 species
GCGAGCGUAGUUCAAUGGUAAAAUAUCUCCUUGCCAAGGAGAAGAUACGAGUUCGAUUCCCGCAGCUCGCC